rnacentral:misc_RNA from 1 species
AAAACUCUAAAGCUAGUCAAUGGAAACAAAAAUUUCAAUUAAAUAAAGUAUUUUGAAAAAAAUUUCAACUAUAUAUCGUUAAAUAUAUAAUGUUUACUUCAAUUUCAACUUAUAUUAUUUAAGGUAUAAUGAAUUUUAUAUUAUAAAUGUUAUUUUUUAAAAUUAAAAUUUAUCAGACUCAUUGAUUUUUAAAUCACUUAUUUAUCAAAUUAUUUAAAAACGUGAUGAAUUUUAUAAUUAUAAAUUUUAGAAUUUCACUAACAUUUUAAAUAGUUUAAUUAACCUAGCUAAUUUAAAUUUUAUGUAAAAAUUGUGAUCUGGUAACAAUUAAAGUAGCAACUAAAGUGAUUAUUUCAGUAAGCAAAAUCCUUGUGGAAUCCGCUUCAGUAUAUAGGAUGCAUUUAUUUAAUAGAUUUGGGAAAGAAAAAUCCUUUUCAAUUAGUUAAUAAUUUUUUUUUACGUCACUAAUACUGCAUUCAUUUUCAUCGAACAAGUCAUUAAAGAUAUUGGAUCCUUGAAGGUUUGUUUCCUUAGAUCUCCUUCAUCAGUUUUCUCCUACAAGGAGCUAGCCAUGGCAGAGGUGGUAGCUGGAGCAUUUCUCUCCAGCAUGUUCCAGUUUUUGUUUGAUAAGAUGGAUUCUCCCGAUAUUGUUGCCUUCUUCAAGGCCCACAAACUCGACUCUGUACUGGUGAGGAAGUUGAAGAUUGCUAUGAUCACUGUUACUGGAUUGCUUGAUCACGCCGAGGAGAAGCAAAUUGUUGUGCCUGCUGUGAAGAAGUGGCUUGAUGAGCUCAAAGAUGUGGCCUUUGAGGCCGAUGACUUGUUGGAUGAGAUUUCUUACGAAGCUCUUCGGUUGGAGUUGGAAGCUGAAUCUCGGAUUAAAAAGGUGAGCAGGCUUUUCUCUUCUCAUAAUCAAUUUGAAAUGGCAGUCAAUGAAAAAUUAGACAAGAUCCUUGAGCUAGUUGAAUAUUUAAUAAGACAGAUGAAAGCCUUGGGUCUAACACUGAGAGAGGGGAUUGGAGAUAAACCAUCAUCUCAGAGAACACCAACUAGUUCAAUACCAGAUGAUGCAUCUAGUAUUUGCGGCAGGGAAGAUGACAGAAAAAAAAUCAGAGAGUCCUUGCUAUCUGAUGGCCAUGGCGUUGGUGUGAUUUGCAUAGUUGGGAGUGGCGGCAUGGGCAAAACCACCCUCGCUCAACUUGUCUACAAUGACAAAAAAGUACAUGGACACUUUGAUAUCAAAGCAUGGGUCUAUGUCUCAGAAGAAUUCAAUGUCUUCAAGAUAACUAAAGAUAUUUUUAGCCAGGUGUCUUCCAAGACUAGUAAGGCCAACGUUUUGGGUGAGCUUCAAGAAGAACUGAAGCAAGAAUUAGAGGGAAAAAUAACUGAUACUUGUGGUAAGAUCUCUUCAGAGCAUGGUAAGGUUGAGGAUAUCAAUGAGCAUCAACAAAAGCGAAAGCAGCCAAAAAAAUUGUUGCUCAUCUUGGAUGAUGUCUGGAGUGACAAGGAUAAUGAAUGGGAAAGUUUACUAAAGCCUUUGAAGUUUGGGGCACCAAGAAGUAAGAUUGUUGUUACAACUCACAAGGAAAGCGUAGCAUCAGCCAUGCAACAUUACCAUAUGCACAUUGAUAUUCAUAAUUUGGAGAAACUAAGUGAUGAUAAUUGCCGGCACCUGCUUGAAACAUAUGCAUUUCAUAAUCAAGUUUCCCAUUCAUCACAUUCAGUCUUUGAAGAUGUUGGCAAGAAA